rnacentral:rRNA from 1 species
GUGGGGAAUCUUGCGCAAUGGGCGAAAGCCUGACGCAGCCAUGCCGCGUGAAUGAUGAAGGUCUUAGGAUUGUAAAAUUCAUUCACCGGGGACGAUAAUGACGGUACCCGGAGAAGAAGCCCCGGCUAACUUCGUGCCAGCAGCCGCGGUAAUACGAAGGGGGCUAGCGUUGCUCGGAAUUACUGGGCGUAAAGGGCGCGUAGGCGGACAGUUUAGUCAGAGGUGAAAGCCCAGGGCUCAACCUUGGAAUUGCCUUUGAUACUGGCUGUCUUGAGUACGGGAGAGGUGAGUGGAACUCCGAGUGUAGAGGUGAAAUUCGUAGAUAUUCGGAAGAACACCAGUGGCGAAGGCGACUCACUGGCCCGUUACUGACGCUGAGGCGCGAAAGCGUGGGGAGCAAACAGGAUUAGAAACCCUUGUAGUCC